rnacentral:RNase_P_RNA from 1 species
UAUGCAAUGAGUUUAAGCUCAAAACAUCCUGCAAAUAUACAUACACAAAAUGAAAGAAAGAAAUAAAAAAGAAAAAAGAAAAAAUGGAAAAAUAGGUCACAUAUUUGUAUGUUUCUUGUUUUUCCAUUUUUUUUUUUUUUUUUUUUUUUCCUUUUUUUUUUUUUUUUUUUUUUUUCCUUUUUCUUUCUCCUAAUUUGUGUAAUUUUUAUAAAAACAGGAAGGAAGGUCUGAGAUGCUGCAUUUAAAGAAUAGAAAAGAAAAGUCAAUGAAUUUUAAUUUUUUUUUUUUUUUUUUUUAUAAUUCUUAUGAAUUAAAAAGAAAGAAAAAAAAAGUUAUAACAUUCGUUGUUACUUUUUAUUUCACAUAUGUAUAUAUAUAUUCUUUAAUAAAAUUUUUGAGAGAAAAAGUAUUGAACAAAUAUUAAUUAGUUACCAGAAAUAUCAAUCAUAUAUUUAAAAUUUCGUAAGAAGUUUUGUGUAUGGUUUUGAAAAAGCUAAUAAGCAAGUAUACAUUGGUGAGUUCGAUUUUUGAGGUUUUUCUUUAUUCCUACAUCUCAUAUAUCAAUAUUUUUUUUAUAAUUAUAUAUUAUACGAGGUGAUAAUAAGAAAAAUAACUUAAUUCAGACUACUCCUAAAUUCAUUGCUGCAA